UGGGGCCGCGGGCGUCGUGGCCCCGGGCUCUCUCGGCUGCGGCCUCGGAGCCCAAGGGUCAGAUUUCUUUUCACAACAAAGUCUCCUGGUCCCCGCAACCCCACUGGAGGCCAAAGCCGGCCGGGCGGCCCGGGCAGGGGCGGGAGCGCGGCCGCCGGGGGCCAAGGUGGGAAGGGAGCGCGCGAGGGGAGGGUGGCCGGCGACCGGGCCCGGCGGCUGGACUUACUCGGGUCACAACUUCGGCGACGCGGGGCCGAGGAACCGGUUCUUCCAAAACCAAACCGAAAAUGGGUAACGGAGAGGCCGAGGCAAGAGGGGUUCUGUGCUGGUGUUUAGGGCCAAAACUGCUCUGGCUUCCAGAAAUUCGAGCCAGUGGAAGCUUUUUUCUUUCUUUCCUUCUGAAAUGCGCCUGUGCCUCCUGGUCGCGGGCCGCCCUUGGCGCGGCUCUAAGUGCUCAGCGACGCGGGGGCCGGUACUGGCGAGGGGAACCCUCCUUCCAGCACCCCGGGUCUUCGCAGUACCCCCUUCCCCUCCAACCGCCCUCCCCCCAACCCCCUCACUGGGCUCCAACUACCCUCGCCCGCAACCUGGAGUCUGGGCCUGCUGCCCACUCCCCCAGGGGUGACUCGGACGCCUGGGCCCUCGCGAUGUUUCCACUGAGCCAAAGGGUGGUGGGGUUUUCUCUGUUAACAAGAAGGAACUAGGUGGAGGUGGGUGGAGUGACACGGUGAUUUUUUUUUUCAUGGUGGGGUGGGGAGGGUAUAAAGGAAUA
rnacentral:lncRNA from 1 species